rnacentral:rRNA from 1 species
CUUAAUCGAUUAACUAAAAUAAGAUUUAAUAACCGAAAGUGUAAGAUUUUACUUUAAGAUUAAAUUAUGUUUAUUAAAUAUUUCAGGUAGAUUUGAUUAAAAUUUUGAGUACGUUGUGAUAAAUUAUACGUUUUCACUUAUAUCUGUUUAAUGGUGUGACACAUUAUGCCACCUCAUUGGCAAGGAAGUCUAUGAGGGUUAAAUAUUUAUGCUUUUCUGAGUAAAUUAAAGGGUUAAAAUUACCCAUUAAUUAUGAUUAUGUUACAAUACUCUUUAUAGCGCUUGAAAAUUUUAUUUCAAAACCAUUAAUUUUAAUUUUUAGUAUAUUAUUAUGAUUAAAUUAGUAAUAUUAAUAUACCCUAUGGUUCUCAAAGGUUACCCGUCUGUUUAUUAAAAACAUUUCCACCUAUUAAAUAUUGGUGGUAGUACCUGCUCUAUGCUUAAAGUAAAUGGCCGCAGUAUCUUGACUGUGCGAAGGUAGCAUAAUUAAUUGCCUUAUAAUUGAGGGCUUGUUUGAAAGGUUUGACGGGGUAAUACUUAACAAGGGGUGUAUUAUUGAAUUUAUUAAUGGGGGCACAGAAACCCCUUAGUUUAAUUAGACGGAAAGACCCCGGGAUCUUUGUUUUUUGUCUGGGGCAGAUUGGAGUCUUUCACUAUUUAUUAAGACCCUGUAAAGUGCAUUGGUGUAAGUUACCCCGGGGAUAACAGUGUGAUAGUUUAUAAGAGAUCUUAUCGAAUUUACUGAUUGCCACCUCGAUGUUGACUUAGGUUUAAAUUUAGGCGCAGCAGUUUAAAUUUAUGGUCUGUUCGACCAUAUUAUACCUCCAUGAGUUGAGUUAAGACCGGCGUGA